rnacentral:rRNA from 1 species
AGAGUUUGAUCCUGGCUCAGGAUGAACGCUAGCGGCAGGCCUAAUACAUGCAAGCUGAACGGUAAAUAUUGUAGCAAUACGAUAUGAGAGUAGCGUAAGGGUGCGUAACACGUAUGCAAUCUGCCCUGUACAGGAGGAUAGCUCGGGGAAACCCGGAUUAAUACUCCGUAGUAUUAUUGAGAGGCAUCUUUUGAUAAUUAAAGUCGCAAGACGGUACAGGAUGAGCAUGCGUCUGAUUAGCUAGUUGGUGGUGUAACGGACCACCAAGGCGAUGAUCAGUAGGGGAACUGAGAGGUUGAUCCCCCACACUGGCACUGAGAUACGGGCCAGACUCCUACGGGAGGCAGCAGUAGGGAAUAUUGGUCAAUGGGUGCAAGCCUGAACCAGCCAUGCCGCGUGCAGGAAGACGGCCUUCUGGGUUGUAAACUGCUUUUUUCGGGGGAUAAAACGCCCAUGCGUGGGAGCUUGAAGGUACCCGAAGAAUAAGCCACGGCUAACUACAUGCCAGCAGCCCGCGGUAAUAC